GCAGCUCCUUGCUAGGAAAGGGAUGUGGAAUUUGCUGACCCUAACCUCCCUGAGUCUGCUGGCCUGAGCCUCCCCAUGUCUACUGGCCUGAGUCUCAGCCCCUCCCCUCUUACCUGAGCUUGUUGCACUCCAAGCCUUCCCUGGAGCACUCAGGGAAGGGGCCCUGAGAAAUGCUCCCAGGCAACCCAGUCUCCAGGGCCCUGUCAGCUGGGAAGGAGGAUAGAGAAUCUAAGAGGGCAGCAUUCCCACCCACUCUUCAUUAAAAGUCUCCCCCAGGAUACCCCAGGCAGUGGAAGCAGUUGGGACAGUAUAUCCUGCCCAUCCAAUCACCUUCCCAGGUUUUGGUGCCAGCUUGCACGCCUCUUUUUUUUCCCUCUGUCAUACAUGUAUCAUUCUGGUUGCUGGGGUGAUGCACCCAUGCUCUAUCUUUGGCACUUCUCCACCCCUACCCAUUCCUAGGGACAGGGAGGGUUUUCCCCACUACAAUUACCCCCUUUAACACUCUGGACACUUGUAAUCUUACAAAGGCAGAUGGACGAAGGUCUCGUUCUUUUGUGACUGCUUCCUGUUGACCAAGGAAUGUAGUCCUACCUAUUCGCUUGUCCAGAGGUCCCUAGCAAAGGGGGUCUGGAUGGAGGGGAGCCUCCAUGUGAGGCAGAAGGAUCUUGCAAAGUCCAGGUCAGUUGGUUGUCCCUGAAAAGCAGCAUGUGCGAUGUCCAAAGGAUGGCAUCACUGGACAAGUUGGCAUCCUGUUGUGUUCUGGAGAUGGCAAAUUUGGCAAGAGUGUUAGAAGGCACAAUCAAACCCAUAACAACUAAAUGACAAAGGUAGGGACUAAUUCUACAGUCCCUGAUUCAGGAAAAAAAAAUGGCUUCCUUGGAAAUAGGUGUACAAGGCAUGUCAUGCUGGUAUGAAGCCUUACUGCCUAUUGUAUUCAGCUUAAUAGCCUUAGGGGAAUAUCCUGAGAUUCCUCCCUUUAACACUUCUACGCCCUUUCUUCUGUCCAAACUAUUAAGGCCGCAAAGAAAGCAGUUUUGAAGCAAAACUGACAGGCUGCCCCAUACCUCACCAACUCAAAUGUUUAGUCCAGCUAAACGAUUAAGUCCCAGGAGGUGGUGAUGCAGGUGGGCUUCUCAAGUGGGGCCUAUACCAUUUCUGAGUCCACCAGACCAUCUUUGAGAAGAUGUUCAGUUGCAAAGCCUUUGCUAGAAUGAUACUAAGCAGCAACAAUUUGAUAUGGUCAGGUUAAACCAGUUCAAUUCUCAAGUGAAAACAAACUUUGAAGAUAGCUAGUUGCACUGGAUCUGAUGAUCACAACUGAGCAUUUUGAUUUCCCUUAAAACCUGAUUUCUAUCCCUGAAAUCACCCUCAUUACCUCAAAAAGACUGUUAGUUUUCAAUUUUGCCUCAUGGUUUGCAUAAAAACAACAAAAGCAGCACUGAACACAUAGGUUUUUUAGGUCUGUUUUGCUGGCCCUUCCACAAGGAACCUUCAGAUUGACCCUUAGCCCUUCAUAAAAGCCACGCCCCACAACUGUCAUAUGGCUUUGCCUGCAGUACUUGUAUUCUUCAAGGCCUUGAGGUUCCCAUAAUGUCUUAUGGUUCCUCCUUGCCAUCUCUCAGGAAAGCAUACUUCGUUCCUUCCCCAGAAAGGCUGCUAUGUACCAUACAACCAAGCAAGAUACCAGGACAUUUCUCCAGUGGACUUCUGUCAGCUUCCACAGUCAAUCUUAGUUCCUCACAGCUUUCUGGUAACACCCCAGAGCCCAUGCAUUCCUCCUUCGGGCAUGAUAUUCCAGUCAAAGUCUUGGUUAUUAAAACCAUAGUUUGACAUCAGUCUUACUGGUUUUCAUGCAAAGGACAUUUUAUAUCAUUACUCACUUAUUAAGAAUGACAGAUUCUAGAGGAAUCAGGUAGGGAGAAAAAUACAAAGCAAAAAGGAAAUCCUUGUGUUUCCAAUAUCCACCAAAAGUGUGUUUCCAUGCCUUGCUUAUAUCUUCCAUUACUUUUCCUCUUAACCUAAUGUGAAGUUUUAACCCUUAGGAUCCUCAAAUUUCUUUUUAAAGCAGAAACAAAAUAAAAAAUCCAAAGCAAAAAUCAGAGUUCAAAAAGAAAAUAAGAGGAAACUAAAACUUGCCUUAGUAUCUUGUCUCCCACCAACCAGUCACACUAACUGGCCACACAGGCAACCUUUCUCAGGGCCCAAAUGGCAUGAAGCCCCAAUGAUAGAGACAUUCUCUCACCUCAGCUCAUUCUAACUGGCACCAGACCACCUUUCCUAGGUCCAUAUGGCACGAGGCCCAAAAUGGCAGAGGUAUGUUCUCACCCCAUCUGGAUUCUAUCCGGCGCCAAUGGCACGAAGCCCCAAUGGUAGAGGUACUCUCUCACCUACCAGUCCAUCCGCUGGUCUCCUGGCAGAGACGGGACCUUUCAUCAACCAGUCUCAUGUCAGAGACAUCCUCUCUCACCCCAGCUGCCUCUACCUGGCACCAGAUGACCUUUCUUGGAUCCAAAUGGCACAAACCCCCAAAGGGCACAGACAGGAUUCCCUGUGUAAACAAAAUGGUUAAGUUCCCAAAGUCCCCAAAAGAUCAGAAAGCAAGACAUAAAGCAAAACCUAAAGCAAAGAAUAACUCAGUCCAAGCACUGAGGUUUCUUCUCUUUCAAAAAAAA